UACGUAGGGUGUAAGCGUUGUCCGGAAUUAUUGGGCGUAAAGAGCUCGUAGGCGGUUUGUCGCGUCUGCUGUGAAAACUCAGGGCUUAACCCUGAGCCUGCAGUGGGUACGGGCAGACUAGAGUGUGGUAGGGGAGAUCGGAAUUCCUGGUGUAGCGGUGAAAUGCGCAGAUAUCAGGAGGAACACCGGUGGCGAAGGCGGGUCUCUGGGCCGUAACUGACGCUGAGGAGCGAAAGCGUGGGGAGCGAACAGG
rnacentral:rRNA from 1 species